CACUGUGUGGCUGAGUUGGUAUCACGCGCGACUUUCAUUCGUCAAGUCGUAGGUUCGAGACCCGCCAUGGUCA